UACGUAGGUGACCAGCGUUGUCCGGAUUUACUGGGCGUAAAGAGCGCGCAGGCGGUCGUUCAAGUCGAGUGUGAAAGCCCCCGGCUCAACUGGGGAGGGUCAUUCGAUACUGAUCGACUCGAAGGCAGGAGAGGGAAGCGGAAUUCCCGGUGUAGUGGUGAAAUGCGUAGAUAUCGGGAGGAACACCAGUGGCGAAGGCGGCUUCCUGGACCAGCACUGACACUGAGGCACGAAAGCGUGGGGAGCAAACAGG
rnacentral:rRNA from 1 species